rnacentral:rRNA from 1 species
AAUAGAUACCCUGGUAGUCCACGCCGUAAACGAUGGAUACUAGCUGUUGGAGGUAUCGACCCCUUCAGUAGCGAAGCUAACGCGUUAAGUAUCCCGCCUAUGGAGUACGGCCGCAAGGCUAAAACAUAAAGGAAUUGACGGGGACCCGCACAAGCGGUGGAUCAUGUUCUUUAAUUCGAUGAUAAACGAAGAACCUUACCAGGGCUUGACAUCCUUGGAAGCACUACGAAAGUAGCGUGUGCCUUUUGGAACCAAGUGACAGAUGUUGCAUGGCCGUCGUCAGCUCGUGUCGUGAGAUGUUGGUUAAGUCCAUCAACGAGCGCAACCCUUGUGAAUAGUUGUAUUUUUCUAUUCAGACUGCCCCGGUNAACGGGGAGAAGAGGGGAUGAUGUCAGGUCAGUAUUACUCUUACGUCCUGGGCUAGAAACGUGAUACAAUGGCUGGUACAAUGCGCAGCGAAGCCGCGAGGUGAAGCAAAUCGCAUCAAAGCCAGUCCCAGUUCGGAUUGGAGCUGAAACUCGCUC